rnacentral:lncRNA from 1 species
CCAUUCCUUCCAGUGUGGCAGGGGACAGCUCAGAAAAUGCUCUUCUCCCUGAAUCCAUGUGCAAAGAAGUCCAUUGGUGUGGACAAUCCCAUUCAUUUGUUGCCACUGGAUGGUCUGGUGAAACAAGGAAGGAUAAAAAUUCCAGCUGUUGAUAUGCAGAGCCUUGGAAAGAGAACUCUCUCCUCUGCCUUCCUGAGCUUCUCCAAGAGGGAAUGCUGGGUCCUGAGCAUGGACAGCGUGCGGGAUGGAAAGGGGCUGGACCUCCGAGUUUCACAGAGUGGCAGCAGACAGCUGCAAUAUUAAUCAGAGACAAUAUUCAGAGACAAUAUUCAGAGACAAUAUUCAGGAAAGGUGUUUUUGAGGGAAAAGGUUUGCCAUUGGAAGUUUCUGAAGAAACACUGUCUCCUGCUCCCAGCUGUGGCAACUGGAAUGAGCAGAGCCAUCCUUUUGUUCCCUCCUCCCUGAAAAGGACAGGGGGAGGCCAGGACACCACCUUUAUCUGA